rnacentral:lncRNA from 1 species
CGCGGUGUGGCUGUCAGCUGGGAGGGAUCCCUCCGCCCAUGUAAACAUCAUAAAGGGCAAGGGGAGCGUCUGUUGUGGGCGGGGGAGCGGCUGCCUUCCCGGAGAGUCCUCUCGGUCCCUAGGUUCCCCUCAAGACGCCGGCAACCGCCCCGUCCCUUAACGUCACACCGGGUCUGCUGGGAGCCAAACAGCUGCGGCCUGAUCUGGGAGCGAUAGAAUCUCAUCACUUAGGGUCACUACCGGAAAUGGAGGAAGCCGGACUGGGAGACCUUGAGAGUUGGGAGCGAGAGGGAAUCGUAGGACGCAGCUGAGAAUUGGGAAAGAUUUUCUUAGGCUUGUUCUUCCUGUCCAUCUCAGUUAAAUAAUAAUCAUAACUCAUGUAAGUCUAGAAUUUGUCUCAAAGUUAUGCCUACCUGGCUCGUAGGAUGCCAACGUUAGGAGUGAAAAUAGUCAACGCUCUCCCGAGAGAGCACAUGACACUACAUGAGCUUCAUCAAGACCCUCGGAGGCCCAGAAUGCGCACCAAAGAGCCAUCGACGAUAAUUCUUCUACCCAACUUUUAUUUAGUAUUAUUAAAUAUUCAGUAAAGUUAAAAGAAAUUUGCAUCAAAUUCCUCUAUACCCACUACCUAGAUUCUAUUAUAACUUGCCACAUCGCAUAUCUAUCUUGCACUGAUAAUUCUUUUAAUAGUGUAUUAGCUGUCCCCUGGGCUUGACUCUCCAUUGCAGUAGGGAGCAGGAAAAGACUCCAGGUCCCAAAGCCCUGGAGAGCUAAGAAAAGGAAUACGUUCUCCCAGGACCACUGUGAACUCUUUCCUGGGCCCGGUACCUCUGGGAAAAAUUUGUUGAAGGGAAGGCGGUUUUCUUCUCCCCCCACGCCCAUCCCCCCUUUUAAUUGAAGACUUCUUAAGCAUAAGAGAUUUCCUUCCACUAGGUGAAUCUGAAAGCGAACUAAGAUCUUGACAAACAUUCCUUGCAUACGUUUGGCAGCUUUCUGGAUGAAAGAGGUCAUUUCAAUGUUGACGUUCUACUUUUUGAGCUUCCUCCUUUUUUCUGAGGCUGCUGGACACUACCCCCCCACCCCCGUCCCCCGUCUCCCGCCAAAAGAAAAAAGGCGCCUCAAAAGUGUUCGUAUCUCUUAAAGUUCGUUAACCUCUUUGCCUCCGUUGCCUGCUCUGCAAAAUGAGGAUAAUAUCGUACCUACUCAAUAUGGUGGUUGUGAAGACUCAGUGAGCUAAUACAUGCAGAGCGUUUAGAGCAGUGCUUUAC